UAGGGAAUCUUCCACAAUGGGACGAAAGUCUGAUGGAACAACGCCGCGUGAGUGAAGAAGGGUUUCGGCUCGUAAAACUCUGUUGUUAAAGAAGAACAUAUCUGAGAGUAACUGUUCAGGUAUUGACGGUAUUUAACCAGAAAGCCACGGCUAACUACGUGCCAC
rnacentral:rRNA from 1 species